CUAAGUUUGAUGGCGACCGGCGCACGGGUGAGUAACACGUAUCCAACCUGCCGAUGACUCGGGGAUAGCCUUUCGAAAGAAAGAUUAAUACCCGAUGGCAUAGUUCUUCCGCAUGGUGGAACUAUUAAAGAAUUUCGGUCAUCGAUGGGGAUGCGUUCCAUUAGGUUGUUGGCGGGGUAACGGCCCACCAAGCCUUCGAUGGAUAGGGGUUCUGAGAGGAAGGUCCCCCACAUUGGAACUGAGAUACGGUCCAAACUCCUACGGGAGGCAGCAUG
rnacentral:rRNA from 1 species